rnacentral:lncRNA from 1 species
GCCCUCCAGGCGCUGACGACCAGCAUGUCAUCUCUGCUGUGCUGUCGAGGGAAAUUUAAAGGGUUACCAGUACAAGGUCUCCCAUGGACAUGAAGGCAGUACAAGGUCUCCCAUGGGCACGAAGGCUGUACAAGGCCCCCCAUGGACACGAAGCAGUGUACCGUAUACUCGAAUUUUGCAUUUUUAAUAAACCAGUUAUUACUCCUUCA